rfam:Proteus mirabilis strain HI4320, complete genome
CAUCAAGUCAUUGGGGAGUAGCCUGUCUUAAAAUAAAUCUCAUUAUUUUAAGAAGUCUGUAUCAACAUACUCGCUUAUUUUUAUUUAGCGUGGUACAGACGCCAUUAUUUGGUUGGCAAGACCAUAGACACAUAAUUGU